AAGGAAAACCGAGUUGUCGCGGCCGUGAGGCUGAGGAAAGUCCGGGCAACGCAGAGCACCAUACUUCCUAACGGGAAGGCGCGCGCGAGCGUGACAGACAGUGCAACAGAAAGGAUACCGCCCGCUUGUCGGGUAAGGGUGAAAACGUGAGGUAAGAGCUCACGCCGCCGUCAGUGAUGCCGGCGGGGGUAAACCUUAUGGGUUGAAAGACCAAAUAAACCGGGGCUUGAGGGCUGCUCGUCCGACCCGGAGGGUAGGUUGAUAGAGGC
rnacentral:RNase_P_RNA from 1 species